UUACAUCAGACGUAAUCUGCCGCAAAAAUCAUGCGGUUUCCGCGUAAUUGGAUACCUUGGCGAAAAGCCAAGCUAAUACAUGAACCAACCGGAUGCCUUCCUGUCAACCCCGGGCGUCGUUUAGCGUGUUUGGUCACGCGGCGGCGUUCGGGUGGAAGCGUCCAGCGAAUGAAUGAAAGUAAAACCAAUGCCGCGAACGCGGCAGUAACACGAGCAGUGUUGAAUCAAUUCAUUCCGUGCGUAAGCUGACUUGUUUCAGCGUCUUUUGACGAACAACUGCCCUAUCAGCCAAUGAUGGCCGUGUAGUGGACUGCCAUGGCGUUGACGGGAGCGGGGGAUUAGGGUUCGAUUCCGGAGAGGGAGCCUGAGAAAUAGCUACCACUUCUACGGGAGGCAGCAGGCGCGCAAAUUGCCCAAUGUCAAAACAAAACGAUGAGGCAGCGAAAAGAAAUAGAGCCGCCAGUCCCCUCUAAAGGGAUUGGCGGUCACAAUGGGGGAUAUUUAAACCCAUCCAAUAUCGAGUAUCAAUUGGAGGACAAGUCUGGUGCCAGCACCCGCGGUAAUUCCAGCUCCAAAAGCGUAUAUUAACGCUGUUGCUGUUAAAGGGUUCGUAGUUGAAUUGUGGGCCGUUCGAGAUGAUCCUGGCUAGGUCCCGUCUAUUCCUGACCUUGGUGACCCCAGCGCUCGCGGCUCGUGAACACAUCCAAGAAACAAAAAACACGGGAGUGGUUCCUUUCCUGACUCACGCAUGUCAUGCAUGCCAGGGGGCGCCCGUGAUUUUUUACUGUGACUAAAGAAGUGCGACCAAAGCAGUCCGUUCGACUUGAAUUAGAAAGCAUGGGAUAACAAUGAAGCAACCUAUGGUACUACCGUUUCGGCUUUUGUUGGUUUUAAAAGUCUGUGGGAGAUUAUGGGGCUGUGCGACCAGCGUGCGCGGGGGGGGCCUCGCGUCCUCUUCGCCGCGCCUUCGGGGUUGGUUUCUCUCCUUUCGGGGCGGGCCUUCCUCGACUCACGGCAUCCAGGAAUGAAGGAGGGUUGUUCGGGGGAGAACGUACUGGAGCGUGAGAGGUGAAAUUCUUAGACCGCUCCAAGACGAACUACAGCGAAGGCAUUCUCCAAGGAUACCUUCCUCAAUCAAGAACCAAAGUGUGGAGAUCGAAGAUGAUUAGAGACCAUUGUAGUCCACACCACAAACGAUGACGCCCAUGAAUUGGGGACCAUUUUGGCUGUGGGGGGCCCCGUGGGAAGUUCACUCUUCCUGCGUCCCCCCACACCAAAACCUAACAACUUACGUGCAUAUUCUUUCAGGUCACACACUAGGGCGUCGCCUUCGGGCGGCGCUCGUGUGGCCACAUUAGGGAAUAUCCUCAGCACGUUCUUUUUUUCUUCACGCGAAAGCUUUGAGGUUACAGUCUCAGGGGGGAGUACGUUCGCAAG
rnacentral:rRNA from 1 species